AAAGGGAACAUGAGCUACAUGGAUCCACUGGGGAUAUUGUGCUGACUCAGACCCCCCUCUCCCUGACCGUCACUCUGGGAGAGUCGGCCUCCAUCUCCUGCAGGCCAGUCAGAGCCUUGUACAUAGUGAUGGAAACACCUAUUUGCAUUGGCACCACCAAAAGCCAGGCCGGUCUCCAAGGCACCUGAUCUAUAAAGUAUCCAACCGAGCCUCUGGGGUCCCAGACAGGUUCAGUGGCAGCGGGUCAGGCACAGAUUUCACCAUGAAGAUCAGCAGGGUGGAGGCUGAGGAUGUUGGAGUUUAUUACUGCCAGCAAGGUUCAAGUACCCCACCCAAAGUGGUUCAGGCCUGAACAAAAACCUCCCUCCUGGGUGACCAGGAGCAGAGCAGGCCUUUUCUCUUAGGCAUCAGGUUGGCAGUGAUGAUACUUCUCACAUCAACAGUAACAGUGAACCAGAGUCAAGAGGAAACCUCACUAACCUUAAGAACAUAUCCACAUGAACACAUAGAGCAACCUGCACAAUUUCUUCGAGUGUCAUAACAAUAGCCCUGU